UGGUAACCUUGUUCAUUUUCAUUUUAUUUUUGAUAAUUACUUCAGCAAAUAAGGACAAUUUCGUCCAAUCAAGUCCAAGAACUAGCCAAAGGCUUAAACAACGGCGAGUGAGAGUGUGACACCGCUGGGAUGAUGUAGCAGAGGCCAGUCCACGCUAAAACCAUGGCUCUAUAGCGCUUCUGUUUUAUCUGCAUCGACAAAACUAGGCCAUGGGCUUUGCAAUGGGAAGCUCACACCUGUUACAAUCUUAUUUUCCCUCCUCUUCUUCUUCUACUUUCUCCUCUUCUCAUUCCCAUUCUGUUUUUUUCCAUGUCAAGAGCUGUAAUGGGAAGACCAAGAUAAAGAAGAGGGCAAUUACUGUUGCUUGUACUCGCCAAGAAGAUCAAUACGAUAUCGUUUUUAGCAAGAAGAGAGCGGUUCUCUUCGUGGGUAUUUCGAUUCUUCCCUUCUUGCAACUUAGAGCCAGAGCUCUUGAAGGUUCACUUACAAGUGAGUGUUUUUAUCACUUCUUUGCCUUUUCGAGAUUCUUUUUUGUUUUUAGCAUUGGAAAUUGUUGAAUUGGGUGAUAUGGGUUCGUCACAUUUUUUCUUCAAAUAGAGGAUAAGAAGUGAUACGAGUGUGCUUUUGCUAUUUCAAGUUCUAUUAGCUGGUUCUUGGUAUAAUUUGUUUAUGGUAUAGGGUAAACGCUGGUUUUGUUCUUGUAUCAUAGGUUUUCACAUUUACUUUAGUUGCUAUUUGGUUAUAAAUACCUGGACAUGCUGGUUGAUUUGAUGUUCUCUUUUUGCGCUGGACUGAACUUAUAGUCGGUUUCGGCUAACUUCUGGUACUUCCUUUAAAAUAUUUUCAAGGGGCAUAAUGAAUGUUAUCUAAAGUCGUAUUCUGGAUUCUUGGAUAUAAUAAUGCCCUUAUUCCAGUUAAUUUUCAAACUUAUUCCAGUUAACUUUCAAAAUUUCUGAUAGUCUCUUUAUGAACAUUACUACGUCAAAACAUUUCCUCCAUUGAGUGUCAUAGGGUUCUUAUUAAUGAUUAAUGAAGUUUAGGGUUUGGGAUGUGGAUCAUGUGGUGGAUAAACAAGAAGCAAAGAUGGGAAGUGAAAUGAAUAGAUGGAUAGUUUAUCAAAUUUUAAGUUAAGGCAGUUUAGUUCACUGAAAUAUUGAAUUCUGAGCUAGUGAAUACUAAAUUCUUGAAGGUGUCAAACACCUUGGAAAUGCUUAUUUGAACCUAAAGAAUAGAAGAAUGUAUGAGGUAUCAUAAUUGUAUAAAAUUAUUAAGAUCUUGUUGCAUAUAUCUAAAAAAAUGAUACUUCUAAUCUUACAAGAGUCUUUGAUAGCUAUAUCAUUUUCUUUUCUGGUUUGAUCUUAGAACCAAGGACCUGGAGGAUUAGCUGAUUUAUCCUACUGUAAAUGGUUGCUUCCCUUUCUUCUAGAUAAAUGGCACACAUGUCAAUGUCUAAUGUAAAAUGAAAAAUACCAUUAUUUUAAAUACUGAUGGAAUGAAGGUUUUGUGUGAAUAAUAUAUAUUUUUUGCUUUGACAACUUACUAUUUCUUUUUUUUUUUAUCGGAAACUUAAUGUCUCUGUGUUCUAGUUUUGUUAUAUCAGCAACUGGAUUGUGGGUUUUAGCUGCCCAUAAGGCUGUAUAAUU
rnacentral:misc_RNA from 1 species